GGGUGCGAUCAUACUAGUGCUAAUGCUUCGGAUCCGAUCAGAACUCCGCAAUUAAGCAUGCCUAGGUGAGAGUAUUUCUGGGAUGGGUGACCUUCUAGAAAGUCCUCGUGUUGCACCCC
rnacentral:rRNA from 1 species